GGUGAAUGGAGUGCACAGUGUUGGUCUGUGUUACGUGUUGUUGCUGGUCUGCGUUUUGCAGUCUUAGCUGCAGUGCUCACCCCACACCUGCAGCCAUAGAAUAACUGGAGAUCAUAGUACUGGCUCUUGACGUCUUUUAUUGACAUCUCACCAUUAGCCAGCCUCCAAACUCUCCUACAGUG